AAUCUUUAUAAUUUUAUGGACGCGCGACGACGUGGCACGACGGCGGUUUAACCAAAUUACAUGAUACCAGUCAGCGGCUUUUGGUUGCAGCAGAAAGAACGGGGCUUUAGUCUUGUGAUGCUCUGCACACGCAACCCAAAUUUUCGAGCUUCAAAUCCCAUUACCAUGGCAGCUCCACAUGUACUAUCCCUAUUCAGAAUCUCUAAACCCUAGUCCAACUGUAGAUAAGCUCUCCGUUCCAUCUCGUUUCUCAAAAAGUUCAGAGAACAACUACUUCUUGUAAACGAAAAAGGAGGAAAUUUGAGGGAGAAUGGGGAGUAAGGUGGAGCGGAAAAUGCAGUGGGGAUGGAAUACUAUUUUCACGGAUUUUUGCCGUCGAUCGUACAACUUGGUGAUGAAGGAAGUGGUUGGGAGGGGCCUGAUUCCUCAAGUCCAUAAGCUGCAAGCAUGAGGAGGUUUGGUGCUCGUCAAGGUCUGACUUCAAGCGCGGUGACUCUGUCGGUUUGUGUGACUACGGGCGCUGCCUUCUCCAACUUCGACCAGUCCUGCUUCUGGCCGGUUUGCAGGUUAAUUCGUCCUUGCUGAUCUAUCGGAGGUUUCUAUGCGACGCCUUAUUCAAUUGUUUUUUCCAGAUGAACAUUUUUCAGCUUUCUACCUGCUUGGCAGCUUGUAUGAGCAGUUCGUCAAGCUGUGGAGUUGCAGAGGCUUUAAAUCCAGCUCCUCCAACUGCAAUAUCGACAUUCAAGUUUACUCUGUGUGCCUGUGUGCAAGCAGACAUGCUCACACAUAUGAGCUUUCAGGGGCUGGGAGUUAAUAGCUAGAGUUUGAGCUAGACCAGGCCAUACUCCUCUGCAUCCCAAUUGCAAAAUAUAAUUGUCCGUCGAG